AAUCCAUAGGUUAAUGAGGCGAACCGGGGGAACUGAAACAUCUAAGUACCCCGAGGAAAAGAAAUCAACCGAGAUUCCCCCAGUAGCGGCGAGCGAACGGGGAGGAGCCCAGAGCCUGAAUCAGCAUGUGUGUUAGUGGAAGCGUCUGGAAAGGCGCGCGAUACAGGGUGACAGCCCCGUACACAAAAGCGCAUGUGCUGUGAGCUCGAUGAGUAGGGCGGGACACGUGGUAUCCUGUCUGAAUAUGGGGGGACCAUCCUCCAAGGCUAAAUACUCCUGACUGACCGAUAGUGAACCAGUACCGUGAGGGAAAGGCGAAAAGAACCCCGGCGAGGGGAGUGAAAAAGAACCUGAAACCGUGUACGUACAAGCAGUGGGAGCACAGGUUUACCUGUGUGACUGCGUACCUUUUGUAUAAUGGGUCAGCGACUUAUAUUCUGUAGCA
rnacentral:rRNA from 7 species